rnacentral:misc_RNA from 1 species
AAGUCGUAACAAGGUUUCCGUAGGUGAACCUGCGGAAGGAUCAUUAAACAAAUUUUAAUUCCACCGUCAACCAAAACAAGUCGUAUUGCGUCAGCAAUAUGAUUUGUUUUGGUUGCUUUUUCUUUUUCUUUACGAGCCAACUGCUUACGCAGUUGAGUUGUAGAUAUUACAUUCAACUGCGUAAGCAGUUGGCUCCUAAAGAAAAGAAAAGAGAGACGGUAUAACCGAUAGCUAAAGCCAUCGGUUUUACCGUCUCUGGUAAACCACGAUAUAUAUGUUGACGAACACAGACAAAUAAUGUAAACAACUUUUAACAAUGGAUCUCUUGGCUCUUA